GACGAACGCUGGCGGCGUGCCUAGUACAUGCAAGUCGAACGCAGUGGGGACGGGUGAGUAACACGUGGGUAACCUCCCAUCAGAGGGGAUAACACUUGGAAACAGGUGCUAAACCGAUACUGAUGGAUGGACCCGCGGUGCAUUAGCUAGUUGGUGAGGUACCGGCUCACCAAGGCCACGAUGCAUAGCCGACCUGCGGGGGUUAUCGGUCACACUGGGAAUGAGAACAGGCCGAGAAUCCUUCGGGAGGCAGGAGUAGUGAAUAUUCGGCAAUGGACGAAAGUCUGACCGAGCAACGCCGCGUGAGUGAAGAAGGUUUUCGGAUCGUAAAACUCUGUUGUUAGAGAAGCGGUAUCUAACCAGAAAGCCACGGCUAACUACGUGCCAGCGGCCGCGGUAAUAC
rnacentral:rRNA from 1 species